rnacentral:rRNA from 1 species
AACGAACGCUGGCGGCAGGCCUAACACUUGCAAGUCGAGCGAGGACUUCGGUUCUAGCGGCGGACGGGUGAGUAACGCGUGGGAAUGUGCCCUUCUCUACGGAAUAGCCCUGGGAAACUGGGAGUAAUACCGUAUACGCCCUAUUGGGGAAAGAUUUAUCGGAGAAGGAUCAGCCCGCGUUGGAUUAGGUAGUUGGUGGGGUAAUGGCCUACCAAGCCGACGAUCCAUAGCUGGUUUGAGAGGAUGAUCAGCCACACUGGGACUGAGACACGGCCCAGACUCCUACGGGAGGCAGCAGUGGGGAAUCUUAGACAAUGGGGGCAACCCUGAUCUAGCCAUGCCGCGUGAGUGAUGAAGGCCUUAGGGUUGUAAAGCUCUUUCAGCUGGGAAGAUAAUGACGGUACCAGCAGAAGAAGCCCCGGCUAACUCCGUG